UAGGGAAUCUUCGGCAAUGGGGGGAACCCUGACCGAGCAACGCCGCGUGAGUGAAGAAGGUUUUCGGAUCGUAAAGCUCUGUUGUUAAGGAAGAACGAGUGUGAGAAUGGAAAGUUCAUACUGUGACGGUACUUAACCAGAAAGGGACGGCUAACUACGUGCCAGCAGCCGCGGUAAUACGUAGGUCCCGAGCGUUGUCCGGAUUUAUUGGGCGUAAAGCGAGCGCAGGCGGUUAGAUAAGUCUGAAGUUAAAGGCAGUGGCUCAACCAUUGUAGGCUUUGGAAACUGUUUAACUUGAGUGCAGAAGGGGAGAGUGGAAUUCCAUGUGUAGCGGUGAAAUGCGUAGAUAUAUGGAGGAACGCCGGUGGCGAAAGCGGCUCUCUGGUCUGUAACUGACGCUGAGGCUCGAAAGCGUGGGGAGCGAACAGG
rnacentral:rRNA from 1 species